rnacentral:rRNA from 1 species
UCAGCAGGCCGCGGUAAUACGUAGGGUGCGAGCGUUAAUCGGAAUUACUGGGCGUAAAGCGUGCGCAGGCGGUUAUAUAAGACAGAUGUGAAAUCCCCGGGCUCAACCUGGGACCUGCAUUUGUGACUGUAUAGCUAGAGUACGGUAGAGGGGGAUGGAAUUCCGCGUGUAGCAGUGAAAUGCGUAGAUAUGCGGAGGAACACCGAUGGCGAAGGCAAUCCCCUGGACCUGUACUGACGCUCAUGCACGAAAGCGUGGGGAGCAAACAGGAUUAGAUACCCUGGUAGUCCACGCCCUAAACGAUGUCAACUGGUUGUUGGGUCUUCACUGACUCAGUAACGAAGCUAACGC